AUUGAACGUUUACGUUGACCACACGGCGUUUUCUCUUUUUAACAGCGUUUAUUUUUAAAUUUAUUCAAUUUUUUUUUUCACUGAAGUGUGUAAUGUAAAAUAAAGUAAUACACUAUAAUCUUAAAAUCGAUGCAUCCAUAUAUAUGUGAUUCCCUAUCUAUAAUUAAUGAUAUGGAUUAACUAUGUAAAUAUUAGAUUAGAUAUGGAAUAAAAGUAGUGUAGUCCCGGCAUAGACUAGACUACUAGCCUUUCCCUUCCUAUGGAUACCAUAAAAGUCGACUAAGAGAAAACAAUGGUUAAAGGAUGGGUUGUAGCGUCCCUCUUUAAACAUUAUCACUCCAUUAUUAUCUAUUAAAAAAGGGCAAUAACGUGCGUGUUAUUAUUAUUAUUUAAUUGUCUAUGGUCGGUACUUUAUUGCGGCGUCUCAGUACUGUCACUAUCACUAUUUAGUUUGUACGUCACAUCACCAGUGUUGCCAACGUAGCCAACUGAGAAAUGCAUCUAGCCCUUUUUUCUUCAUUCAGUGGCACAAUACAAAGAGGCAAUAUAAAAAUAUUGCCAAGUAUAUCUCUUUAGGUCUGGGUGUUUUACAAAAAAAAGUAUUUACAAAAAAAAAGUAUUUAAGUAUGUCUAUCUAUUGUUUAGUACACAUAGUUGAAGCUCUGCUUGGCCUAAGACUAGAUGGCGCUGUGAUAUACUGUGAUAUUUUAUUUAUCCCCUAGCCUCGAAUCUAGCCCUAUUAUGUUCUUAUUUACUUAAGUAUUCACCAGAAACAAUACUAAAAAAAAUUAACUUCCAGAGUGGUUGAAUUAAAAACCAAAUUAAUAAUUGUCUGUUUUUAUUGCUUCUGGAUUUAAAAGUACACGUAACUAUCAAGCGUAUAUGAAUAGAUUGGUGAAUGUGGAGGAAUCGAAAGAGGUUUGUUUGAAGCGGAGUAUUUAGCGUUGCAUUGAUUCUGCCUACGCCAAAAGAACACAAGUAUAAUAUAUAGAUGUAAGCUAAAUAAAUUCAAUAUGCAUUAUUAGUAAAUCACAAGUUUUUUUAUGCAACUUAGAAUGGCAAAUAAGCUGACGGCCCACCUGAUGGAAAGUGGUAACCGUCGCCUAUAGACAUGAGCAAUGAACAAUGAAAACAAUUAACCAUGAUAGUUUCCAGCGAGAACCGCGAGGAGGUCGACCUGGUUGGGUAUAUUGCUAGCAAUGGGAUUCACAGUCUCUAUUACUAACAAUCCCUUUUCCCCCUACUAUUUCGGUUUAGCCCGAAAACAUCGAACUGUGUUGGCAACACUGCAUAGCAUAUCACACCUACAAAUAAUAUUAAUUGCACACUAUCAAAAGUACCUGUAUGUAUAAAAAUACGGUAUAUUUUUUGCGUAUAUAUUAAUAAAUCCUAUACCAAUAUAAAGUGACGAGAUAAGUCGUGUAGAAUGUGACACGCAUACCAGCUUUAUACCUAGCCUUUAACUGUCCACAGCAUCCCCCAUAAGGGGGUAUUUGCCAGUAUUAGCAGGCGGGUUGGCAACUGCAGUUUGGCUUUUGGUAAUACUUUAAGAGGGACGCUGUUGCCCAAAGAGAUAUGGCCUGGAAUAGAGCUGGUUGGAAGAGAACAUAUGAAUUAGUUGCACCGACAAGAGGAAACUAAAUAGAAACAAAAUACUUACAUCAAGCAUCCUGCGGUCGCCCUCGACUGCCUUCCUCAGCGCCGCCACGUCAGCCUCCAGCCGUGCCAGGGUGCCGGGCAGCUGUUCCAACACUUUCAAAUCUGGAUACCAAACAUGAAACCAUUUUAUUACACGACUGCCCAAUAGUUUAAAAUUGUGUUACAAAAUAAACUGACCUCAAUUGUGAAAAAUGA